rnacentral:lncRNA from 1 species
GCCAGGGCCCACCUCACCAUGGCAGAGGUGUGCUCUGGGCGGUGGCAGCACCAGGUGGGACAGAGGGCACAGAGAAAGCUCUCAAUACUCAUGGCCACCAGGAGACAGAGACUCACUGUGUCGGAAAAUUGGAGACAGGAUCCAGAAACACAGCCACCUGCAAUGCCACCUGGUGAUACAGCAUGAAGAUUUUCUCCAGCAGGAUCACAGUUACACAGGAGAGGUUGACCAUAUCAACAGUGGCCAGGUUAAGGAUGUAGGUCACAUAGGGGCUGCUCCAGACCUGUGGAGAGCUAACAGAAGUGGAGAGACAAAGACCUGUCCACGAGAAGUCUCAUGCCCCUUCCUUCACUCUGACACCUCCUUAACAUGCUCCUGAAAUGUCAGCAUCAUGAGACAUGAGCUACACAAUGAUGCAGUAUGGGA